AUUUAAAGGUCAGCUCCAAUGACCUCCCCUUAUAGUGAAAUAACUACAAAAAUCUUUUUUUAUAUAAAAAAACACAAACAGAAAAUGAUCUCAAGUUUAUUACCUACAACAUACAUUUUCAAUGACUGAUUUGUUGAACUUAAGACUGUCCAGUGAAAUUUAAUUCUUAUUUUAAAGCUGUAACAAGAACGUGUUUGUUCUCAUUGUCACUGAAACAAGGUAACAGUAAACUUGAGAAAGAGUCACAUCACAUUGAAACCCUUUAGAAACUUUGUCUCUGCCUGAUUUUACAUUUAUUGACGUUGAGUUGUCCAACAGUGGGAGACAGGCAGUCAUUAGGGACAUUUUGAACAUGAGCCCUUCUAGCCGUCUGUGGGUUUAAUGGAAACCUCCUUCCUAGCUGACCGUGUUUCUCCUCAGGUUGUUACAGAAACAAGGGGAAACAUGUGAGGGUCAAAAAGGCGAGUCUCUUUCUGCCAGAAGUUUCAGUUUAAUGGAGAAACUGCAGAGUUUCUCCAUUAAUGGUAAAGUGA